rnacentral:rRNA from 1 species
GGUGGCUAAUACCGCAUAACGUCGCAAGACCAAAGAGGGGGACCUUCGGGCCUCUCACUAUCGGAUGAACCCCCAUGGGAUUAGCUAGUAGGCGGGGUAAUGGCCCACCUAGGCGACGAUCCCUAGCUGGUCUGAGAGGAUGACCAGCCACACUGGAACUGAGACACGGUCCAGACUCCUACGGGAGGCAGCAGUGGGGAAUAUUGCACAAUGGGCGCAAGCCUGAUGCAGCCAUGCCGCGUGUAUGAAGAAGGCCUUCGGGUUGUAAAGUACUUUCAGCGGGGAGGAAGGCGGUGCGGUUAAUAACCGCGCCGAUUGACGUUACCCGCAGAAGAAGCACCGGCUAACUCCGUGCCAGCAGCCGCGGUAAUACGGAGGGUGCAAGCGUUAAUCGGAAUUACUGGGCGUAAAGCGCACGCAGGCGGUCUGUUAAGUCAGAUGUGAAAUCCCCGGGCUUAACCUGGGAACUGCAUUUGAAACUGGCAGGCUUGAGUCUUGUA